rnacentral:lncRNA from 1 species
UCAGUAAAUUCCUGCUCAACAGCCACUGGUUCAGUUAACUUCACACCUGCUUUAGUAUAAAUGGAUGUAAUGUUAUUUUGGCUGGUUCUUAUCUUCCAUUGAGCAUGAAAGUAUUUGGUGUUGCCAUCUCCACCCUCAAUCCAGCUUGCCUUUGAUUUCUGUCUCAUGAUUUGUUCUUUAAUAUUACUCCACUUCUCAAUGUCAUGAAGGGCUUCUUUUUUCUCCUUAAAUAGUUGUUCUGAAAAAGGAUUCUGGAGCAAUUGGCUUUGAAUAAUAUCCAGAUGUUCUCUAGCAUGAAUCAGUUUCUGCUGAUAGGAAGCCAUGUGCCUGUUCAUUUCUUU